GGAAGUCAUACCACAGGCCAAGUGCAGGGCUCUUCUGGGUCCUCUGCUGCCUGAGGCCAGGGAAGGAAGAGGUACCUAGUAGGAUAGCAGCACCUCGGAAAGCCAAGGAUUUGGUGACUAAGAACCAGAUACAAUGAGACCUAAGUGGAAUUGCCAGAGUUAUUAUGCCCAGAGAGCUCACAAUGAGCUGGAUCUGCUUCAUGGAAUACUGGGGAGAGGUACCUAGCCUGUGUGGCAGGAGAAGAUUUGAAUCCAGCUUAUAUGAAGUCCUGGGCGACACGGGUAGAACUCUAUGUCCAUAAGUAUGUCCAUGUCCUAUUUCCCUUUUACCCACUUCACUUGGCCCUGUUCCUGCCUGAAUUCCGGGGCCCAGAACCACAGCCUGCUAAUGAUGGCGUCCCACCCAGGAGAGG